CCGGUGGUCAAACCGGAGGAAGUGGGGAUGACGUCAAGUCCUCAUGGCCUUUAUGUCUAGGGCUACACACGUACUACAAUGGCCGGUACAAAGGGCAGCGACUCAGCGAUGAGGGCUAAUCCCAUAAAGCCGGUCUCAGUCCGGAUUGAAGUCUGCAACUCGACUUCAUGAAGGCGGAAUCGCUAGUAACCGCGAAUCAGCAGGUCGCGGUGAAUACGUUCCCGGGCCUU
rnacentral:rRNA from 1 species